rnacentral:rRNA from 1 species
UACGUAGGGGGCAAGCGUUGUCCGGAUUUAUUGGGCGUAAAGAGCGUGUAGGCGGUUUGGUAGGUCCGUUGUGAAAACUCGAGGCUCAACCUCGAGACGCCGAUGGAAACCAUCAGACUAGAGUCCGGAAGAGGAGAGUGGAAUUCCUGGUGUAGCGGUGAAAUGCGCAGAUAUCAGGAAGAACACCAGUGGCGAAGGCGGCUUACUGGUCCGGUUCUGACGCUGAGGCGCGAAAGCGUGGGGAGCAAACAGG